GAUGAACGCUGGCGGCGUGCCUAAUACAUGCAAGUCGAGCGAACAGACGAGGAGCUUGCUCCUCUGACGUUAGCGGCGGACGGGUGAGUAACACGUGGAUAACCUACCUAUAAGACUGGGAUAACUUCGGGAAACCGGAGCUAAUACCGGAUAAUAUAUUGAACCGCAUGGUUCAAUAGUGAAAGACGGUUUUGCUGUCACUUAUAGAUGGAUCCGCGCCGCAUUAGCUAGUUGGUAAGGUAACGGCUUACCAAGGCAACGAUGCGUAGCCGACCUGAGAGGGUGAUCGGCCACACUGGAACUGAGACACGGUCCAGACGCCUACGGGAGGCAGCAGUAGGGAAUCUUCCGCAAUGGGCGAAAGCCUGACGGAGCAACGCCGCGUGAGUGAUGAAGGUCUUCGGAUCGUAAAACUCUGUAUUAGGGAAGAACAAAUGUGUAAGUAACUAUGCACGUCUUGACGGUACCUAAUCAGAAAGCCACGGCUAACUACGUG
rnacentral:rRNA from 1 species